GACAGAGGGUGCAAACGUUGUUCGGAAUUACUGGGCGUAAAGCGCGCGCAGGCGGCUCGUCAAGCCUGACGUGAAAGCCCCCGGCUCAACCGGGGAGGGUCGUCGGGGACUGGCGGGCUUGAGGUCGGCAGGGGCUGGUGGAAUUCCCGGUGUAGUGGUGAAAUGCGUAGAGAUCGGGAGGAACACCCGUGGCGAAGGCGGCCAGCUGGGCCGGACCUGACGCUGAGGCGCGAAGGCGUGGGGAGCGAACGGG
rnacentral:rRNA from 1 species